rnacentral:rRNA from 1 species
UACACACCGCCCGUCACACCAUGGGAGUUGGUUUCACCCGAAGACGCUACGCUAACCCGCAAGGGAGGCAGGCGGCCACGGUGGGAUCAGCGACUGGGGUG